UACGGAGGGUGCAAGCGUUAUCCGGAUUUACUGGGUUUAAAGGGCGUGUAGGCGGGCUUUUAAGUCAGUGGUGAAAUCUCCGGGCUCAACCUGGAAACUGCCAUUGAUACUAUUAGUCUUGAAUUUUGUUGAGGUGGGCGGAACGGGUCAUGUAGCGGUGAAAUGCAUAGAUAUGACCCGGAACACCGAUUGCGAAGGCAGCCCACUAAGCAACGAUUGACGCUGAGGCACGAAAGCGUGGGGAUCAAACAGG
rnacentral:rRNA from 1 species